UGACCGCAACAAUAGGCCAAGAUAUUGUUGCGGUUCCUAGCCAAAACUGCAGCAAUAAAUUUUUAUUUAUUUAAAAAGUACAACGUAUUGCUGCGGUUUUGUCUAGGAACCGCAACAAUAUCUUGACCUAUUGCUGCGGUU
rnacentral:pre_miRNA from 1 species